rfam:Serendipita vermifera MAFF 305830 unplaced genomic scaffold scaffold_4, whole genome shotgun sequence.
GGGCUUGUGGCGGAGUGGUUACCGCGUUGGUCUUCGAUUAAGUCGCAACCAAAGGUCCUCGGUUCGACCCCGGGCAGGCUCG